UACAGAGGGGGCAAGUGUUGUUCGGAAUUACUGGGCGUAAAGGGCGCGUAGGCGGCCUUCUAAGUCGAACGUGAAAUCCCCGGGCUCAACCCGGGAACUGCGUCCGAUACGGGCAGACUAGAGUUCGGCAGGGGAGACUGGAAUUCCUGGUGUAGCGGUGAAAUGCGCAGAUAUCAGGAGGAACACCGGUGGCGAAGGCGGGUCUCUGGGCCGAUACUGACGCUGAGGAGCGAAAGCGUGGGGAGCGAACAGG
rnacentral:rRNA from 1 species